rnacentral:tRNA from 1 species
GCGAAAGUGGCGGAAUUGGCAGACGCGCUAGGUUUAGGCCCUAGUACCGAAAGGUGUGGGGGUUCGAGUCCCCCCUUUCGCA